GACGAACGCUGGCGGCGUGCUUAACACAUGCAAGUCGAACGGAAAGGCCCUGCUUUUGUGGGGUGCUCGAGUGGCGAACGGGUGAGUAACACGUGAGUAACCUGCCCUUGACUUUGGGAUAACUUCAGGAAACUGGGGCUAAUACCGGAUAGGAGCUCCUGCUGCAUGGUGGGGGUUGGAAAGUUUCGGCGGUUGGGGAUGGACUCGCGGCUUAUCAGCUUGUUGGGGGGGUAGUGGCUUACCAAGGCUUUGACGGGUAGCCGGCCUGAGAGGGUGACCGGCCACAUUGGGACUGAGAUACGGCCCAGACUCCUACGGGAGGCAGCAGUGGGGAAUAUUGCGCAAUGGGCGGAAGCCUGAUGCAGCAACGCCGCGUGCGGGAUGACGGCCUUCGGGUUGUAAACCGCUUUCGCCUGUGACGAAGCGUGAGUGACGGUAAUGGGUAAAGAAGCACCGGCUAACUACGUG
rnacentral:rRNA from 1 species